GGCAAAGGUCUUUUGGGGCCAGAUAAGUAACGUGAGUGACAGUGGAAAACUGGAGAAUGCAAGCCCUGUCCCAGGAGGGUGACUGCCACUCUGUUCCAACUGAUUGUUUCUGCUCAGUUGGGCUUUUCUUGAGACUUCAGAAUUCCAGAUAAAAUUUUCAAUGAAAUCUCAAUAGCUGUAAAUCUGAUUUUUAAUAUGAAGUCUGAUUUGUAAAAUCCAUCUCUAAUUUAAACUAACUGGGCCAAAAAAUUCAUUUGCAGGCAAAAUGUGACUACUUCUUUGCUAUAUCUGUUAUUUGCACAGGUGCAGAGAUGGAGAGUUAUGGGUGUUUAGGGUCAGAGAAUGGUGGUGGGGAGCUUUGGGGAAAAGCGUGGGAAGCUUGAAUAGUGAUUGAGGGUCUGUGAAUAGUUAGUCAUCUGAGCGCUGUGUUGCAGGCAGUGGGGAUCAGUACAGCUUGUCCAAGGAAGUAGUGAGGGAUCAGAUAUUGGAUUCAUUAUGUAAUUGUUGUGUGUCUCAGUUUUCAGUUGUAAAAUGUGAAUGAAAGAUCUCUAGAAGUGAUGAAGCUAUACAAAGUGUUUUGAAGAAUGCCUAACACAAAUACUAUGUUAGUGUUAGUUGCAGCUUGAGCAUCCCUAGUCCAGAAAUCCAAAAUGCUCCAAAGUCUGAAAUGUUUUGAGUACCAACGUUAUGCCCUGGUGGAAAAUCCUAUACCAUGAAACUGUUGCACAAAAUUAUUUUAAAAUGUAUGAAAUUGCCUAACUAUGUGUAUAAGGUAUAUGUGAGACUAAUUUCAUGGUUAGACUUGGCUCCCAUGCCAAGAUCUUAUGUAAAUAUUCCAAAAUGUGAAAAUAUCAGAACCCCAAAUGCUUCUAGUCCCAAGCAUUUUGUGUAAGGCGUGCUCUGCCUGUGUUAUUGUUACUAAGUUGAUGUGCAGGGGAACUGGGCAGAGGCCAGAAGCAAAGUUCAUCAG
rnacentral:lncRNA from 1 species